rnacentral:rRNA from 1 species
UACGUAGGGGGCAAGCGUUGUCCGGAAUCAUUGGGCGUAAAGCGCGCGUAGGCGGCCUGGUAAGUCGGAUGUGAAAACCCGGGGCUCAACCCCGGGCCUGCAUCCGAAACUGCCCGGCUAGAGGUAGGUAGGGGAGAUCGGAAUUCCUGGUGUAGCGGUGAAAUGCGCAGAUAUCAGGAGGAACACCGGUGGCGAAGGCGGAUCUCUGGGCCUUACCUGACGCUCAGGCGCGAAAGCUAGGGGAGCGAACAGG